rnacentral:rRNA from 1 species
GCCGAACCGUGCGAACGUUGUUCGGAAUCACUGGGCUUAAAGGGCGCGUAGGCGGUGGGUCAAGUCGGUGGUGAAAUCCUUCAGCUUAACUGGAGAAGCGCCUCCGAUACUGACUCUCUGGAGGGAGGUAGGGGCAUGUGGAACUCAGGGUGGAGCGGUGAAAUGCGUAGAUAUCCUGAGGAACGCCGGUGGCGAAAGCGACGUGCUGGACCUCUUCUGACGCUGAGGCGCGAAAGCCAGGGGAGCAAACGGG